GGGGAACUUAAUGCGUUAGCUGCGGCACCGACGACGUGGAAUGUCGCCAACACCUAGUUCCCACCGUUUACGGCGUGGACUACCAGGGUAUCUAAUCCUGUUCGCUCCCCACGCUUUCGCUCCUCAGCGUCAGUAAUGGCCCAGAGAUCCGCCUUCGCCACCGGUGUUCCUCCUGAUAUCUGCGCAUUUCACCGCUACACCAGGAAUUCCGAUCUCCCCUACCACACUCUAGUCUGCCCGUAUCGAAUGCAGACCCGGGGUUAAGCCCCGGGCUUUCACAUCCGACGUGACAGACCGCCUACGAGCUCUUUACGCCCAAUAAUUCCGGACAACGCUUGCGCCCUACGUAUUACCGCGGCUGCUGGCACGUAGUUAGCCGGCGCUUCUUCUGCAGGUACCGUCACUUUCGCUUCUUCCCUGCUGAAAGAGGUUUACAACCCGAAGGCCGUCAUCCCUCACGCGGCGUCGCUGCAUCAGGCUUUCGCCCAUUGUGCAAUAUUCCCCACUGCUGCCUCCCGUAGGAGUCUGGGCCGUGUCUCAGUCCCAGUGUGGCCGGUCGCCCUCUCAGGCCGGCUACCCGUCGUCGCCUUGGUGAGCCAUUACCUCACCAACAAGCUGAUAGGCCGCGGGCUCAUCCUUCACCGCCGGAGCUUUUAACCCCCACCCAUGCGAGUGGAAGUAUUAUCCGGUAUUAGACCCCGUUUCCAGGGCUUGUCCAGAGUGAAGGCAGAUUGCCACGUGUACUACCCGUCGCACUAAUCCACGAGUGUCAUGUCGCUGAUGUGUAGACGCGCAGGUCGUCUACAAAACCCAAAGAAUGACAGGGGG
rnacentral:rRNA from 1 species